UGAGUAACCUGCCCUGGACUUUGGGAUAACCCUCGGGAAACGGGGGCUAAUACCGGAUACUCCGGUCGAACCGCAUGGCUCGAUCGGGAAAGCUCCGACGGUCUGGGAUGGGCCCGCGGCCUAUCAGCUUGUUGGUGGGGUCAUGGCUCACCAAGGCGACGACGGGUAGCUGGUCUGAGAGGACGACCAGCCACACUGGAACUGAGAUACGGUCCAGACCUCCGUACGGGAG
rnacentral:rRNA from 1 species